AAUGCAGUGCUUUUGUCAAGUCUUUGCUAAUGGUGAAACUAAUGAUUCUUGUAGAAAGAUCAAAGGGCUUUCAGUAAAAUGAUCAAUAUACGAUUACAGACCAAACUUAAUUGAGAAAAUUUACCGAAAUUGAAAGAGAGAGAGAUAGACAUGAUGAAGGUGGGUUUGUUGAAUCAGUAGCGGCAGAUCUUGGCCGUGGGCAUUGUGACACAAACUUGAGCGUAUUUCUUCUUGGCCGCCUCAGUCCCUCGCCUGGGCUCUUCCUCUUCCGCCAUGGCUACCUUAGCCAAAGAACAAAGAGCAGCAGCUGCAGCCGUGAACAUGAGGUCCCUCCUCAUUGUGCUGUUGCUCUGCUCCUUCUGGGCCUUGACUUCUAAGCUGGGUGUGUUGUCGCUCGUGGAGGCUCUGACUACCGAGAGCUUUCGUCCGCUGGUGGCUGAGGGAAGCUUGGCGACGGCAGGGAGGAAGGUAGCGGUCAUGGUCAUGGAUGCCAUUGCUUGAUAGUUGAUUGAAUCCUGCGUUUGAUCUCUUUCUCUCGGUUAAUGAGUUUGUGAGGUGAUGAAGGGGAAUGUGUUUAAGAAGUUGGGUGAUUUGGGUUUGUGGAAUUGUGGAGAAAUGAUAUCCAUUUCCUUAUCCAAAUAUGAUUUUCGUGCAAAUGGGUUAUUGCCACGUGUCAUGAUCUAUCUUUUGUAAAGAAGAACCAUAUAAUGAGAGGUUGGUUCUCGCAUAAAAAGUGUCACUAGAUACUUUUGUUGUCC
rnacentral:lncRNA from 1 species